rnacentral:lncRNA from 1 species
GGAUGAUAAAUUGGAUUAAGCAUGAGAUUUUGAAUGCUCGAUGAUGAAUGCAGUUAGGAUAAGCUAUAUGCAGGUAUGAAGCAUACUUAGUUUUUUAUUUUUUUUUAUUUUUUACAACCAAAAUGAGAAAUCGGUAUUAUUGUUGCAUAUGUAAAGCAACAAGUGGUGAAAAGUUUCGAUUGAUUUCCCCAAUUAGUCGGUAUGACGACCUUUGAAUUUUGAUAAUAAGACACAUGACUCUAGUCAUAUGUAGUUGUUUUUCAAACCGGAGACACAUACAUGAUUUUGCUUUAUUUUGUGUGAAAGAGUACGGAUUUAAAGUAAUAUGUUUUUUUUGAAUGCG